UACAGAGGUCCCAAGCGUUGUUCGGAUUCAUUGGGCGUAAAGGGUGCGUAGGCGGCGCGGUAAGUCGGGUGUGAAAUCUCGGGGCUUAACUCCGAAACUGCAUUCGAUACUGCCGUGCUUGAGGACUGGAGAGGAGACUGGAAUUUACGGUGUAGCGGUGAAAUGCGUAGAUAUCAGGAAGAACACCGAUGGCGAAGGCAGUUCUCUGGGACGGUACUGACGCUGAGACGCGAAAGCGUGGGGAGCGAACAGG
rnacentral:rRNA from 1 species